rnacentral:rRNA from 1 species
AAUAUUGCACAAUGGGGGGAACCCUGAUCCAGCCAUGCCGCGUGUGUGAAGAAGGUCUUCGGAUUGUAAAGCACUUUAAGUUGGGAGGCAGAGUUGUAGGCUAAUAUCUCUCAAUUUUGACGUUACUAACAGAAUAAGCACCGGUUAACUUCGUGUUAGCAGCAGCGGUAAUACGAAGGGUGCAAGCGUUAAUCGGAAUUACUGGCCGUAAAGCGAGCGUAGUGGGUUCGUUAAGUUGGAAGUGAAUGCACCGGGCUUAACCUGGGAAUUACUUUCAAAACUGACGAGCUAGAGUACGGUAGAGGGUAGUGGAAUUUCCUGUGUAGCGGUGAAAUGCGUAGAUAUAGGAAGGAACAGCAGUGGCGAAGGCGACUACCUGGACUGAUACUGACACUGAGGUGCGAAAGCGUGGGGAGCAAACAGG